AGAGUUUGAUCAUGGCUCAGGACGAACGCUGGCGGCGUGCCUAAUACAUGCAAGUCGAGCGGACCUCUUCGGAGGUCAGCGGCGGACGGGUGAGUAACACGUGGGCAACCUGCCUGUAAGACUGGGAUAACUCCGGGAAACCGGAGCUAAUACCGGAUAGUAUCUUGAACCGCAUGGUUCAAGUUGGAAAGACGGUUUCGGCUGUCACUUACAGAUGGGCCCGCGGCGCAUUAGCUAGUUGGUGAGGUAAUGGCUCACCAAGGCAACGAUGCGUAGCCGACCUGAGAGGGUGAUCGGCCACACUGGGACUGAGACACGGCCCAGACUCCUACGGGAGGCAGCAGUAGGGAAUCUUCCGUAAUGGACGAAAGUCUGACGGAGCAACGCCGCGUGAGUGAUGAAGGUUUUCGGAUCGUAAAACUCUGUUGUUAGGGAAGAACAAGUGCGAGAGUAACUGCUCGCACCUUGACGGUACCUAACCAGAAAGCCACGGCUAACUACGUGCCAGCAGCCGCGGUAAUACGUAGGUGGCAAGCGUUGUCCGGAAUUAUUGGGCGUAAAGCGCGCGCAGGCGGUUUCUUAAGUCUGAUGUGAAAGCCCCCGGCUCAACCGGGGAGGGUCAUUGGAAACUGGGAAACUUGAGUGCAGAAGAGGAGAGUGGAAUUCCACGUGUAGCGGUGAAAUGCGUAGAGAUGUGGAGGAACACCAGUGGCGAAGGCGACUCUCUGGUCUGUAACUGACGCUGAGGCGCGAAAGCGUGGGGAGCGAACAGGAUUAGAUACCCUGGUAGUCCACGCCGUAAACGAUGAGUGCUAAGUGUUAGAGGGUUUCCGCCCUUUAGUGCUGCAGCUAACGCAUUAGCACCUCCGCCUGGGGAGUACGGUCGCAAGACUGAAACUCAAGAUGACG
rnacentral:rRNA from 1 species